CUUUGUUCACAUUUUACAAGUACACUUGUGAUGGAGUAUUUGCAUUUUCAUGUCUUCAAUGAUUUCUCCUUCAUGAAAAGCAGAUAUUUGGGUCCUUUUGUCUGAGGAAAGUUAAUAAAACAUCAGAUACCAUAAAACCUGUGUUUAAGGAAUUUCAAAAGAAUCCAGAAGAUCAUAUUUCCAGUACAAAAGUUUUAACUUCCAGUCAUGAUAUGGAGUUAGGAGAAGGCUAAGAUUAUUGUAGGAGCUUCAACCAGUGUGACAGCACAGGUUGGAAGAAGAUAUUUGGAAAAGCAACUGAGCUCAUAGUAGCUGCCCCUGAUAGAGACCUUGAUACAGACAUGUCCCCCAAGCCCACUAUGUUUCUUCCUUCAGUUACUGAAAUCAAGCGUGAUAAUACUGGAACAUAUCUUUGUCUUCUGGAGAAUUUUUUCCCUCAUGUUAUUAAGGUUUAUUGGAGAGAAAAAAAUGGCAACAGAGUUUUGCCAUCCCAGCAGGGAAAUACCAUGAAGACUGCUGACACAUACACGAAGUUCAGCUGGCUGACCGUGUCUGGAAACUCCAUGGAUAAAGAACACAUGUGUAUUGUCAAACAUGAGAAAAAUAAAAGAGACAGAAAUCAAGAGAUUCUUUUUCCGUCAGUGAAUGAAGUUGUCUCUUCAGUUGUCACUACUACUAAACCUCCAAAUGAUGGUUUGAAGGAUAAAAGUGAGAAACAAAGCCCUGUUGAAAAUUCUAAAAAAGCAUGUCUGAAAGAUGAAAACAAUACCCUGCAGCUGCAGCUCAUGAACACCUCUGCCUAUUACACAUACCUCCUCCUCCUCAUUAAGAGCACAGUCUACUUUGUCAUCAUCACCUCCUGUGUGUUCAGAACAGGCAUCUGGGGCAAUCAGAAGAGCUCAUGACAGAGGGGCCCCAUAAGAGGAUCAGCGUUCCUUUAUCAUCUAUGGUCUCGAAGAGCUCUGCUGAGAAUCUAGCCUGGUUUUUAUUUCUGGAUUUGGGUUAUUUCAUGUGUUAUUUUUAUAUUAUGUCUUUAUUUUGUAAGAGUUUUUCAAACCAUUGGGCAAACAGACAGUUUGACUCUGUAACAAGAAAUUCUGCCAUUACUCAGGGGCAGGACCCAGGGUGUGUCCGGACAGCCUCUCCCCUCGCUGUCCCCACAACCUCAUCAGCUCCUUGGGCUCCUGAGUCUUCACGCCUUCUCAGUGCAUACAGCGGGCAGCUCCCCAUCUCUUCCCUCAGCGCCUCCCCCGAGAUCAUGACCCUGACCCUCCCUGCCACACACCCUGGGGCUGCCAGCUUUGCUACUUGAAUUCUGUACUUUCUAUUUCAUAAUAGAUGUGAUUAAUAAAAGAAAAACUCAAAAGUC